AUGCAGGGGGAAAAUCUCUCGUGUUUGUCUGCUGUUGUCGGCGUAGCUCUCUCUCUCUCUCUCCGUGCGUGCGCGAUUUGGUUCUGCAUAUGGAUGGGGUUUUUGGGGUUUUUUCUUCCCCCCUUCCUCGAUGUGUUACAGUUACAGGACUGGACCAGUAAUAGUGAUGAUAGUGAUAAGUUUGACUGGGACAGUGAUGGUGAGGCUGAGCCCUCAUUGGCUCCGGCGAUGAGGAACUUCGAUGCUCCUGGCCCAUCCACACUCGGAUAUGUGGCAAUGGGCUUCCCAAAAGAGAUGGUCGUGAGGAGUAUCAAGGAGAUUGGACAUAGUGAUGCAGAUGCGCUGCUCGAGCUACUCCUCACGUACAAGGCACUAGGUGAUGAUGAUGAUGCAGUGGGCAAUCACUCUACUUCUGGCUGCAACCCCACUAUUGUUGAAGAUGAUGAUGAUCUUGAUUUUGAGAAGUGGGAUGGUGAUGAUGAUACUGGUGGUAGAGAGUCAAGCUCUGAUGAUUCUGGUUAUGAGUUGCAUCAAACUGCCCUCCAAGACCAACCUCAGGAAAGCAACAUCUACCUGUUAGAGCUGACAUCUAAUCUCGGCUUUUGUCGUACCUUUGUGCAGGAGUUUCUACGAGAGAUGUCAGACAAGGACGAGAAGAUCAACUCAUUGCGAGACAUGGGCUUUUCUGAAGAUGAAGCAAACAUGGCCAUUACGAUAUGUGGUGUGGAUGCUGAUCUCUCUGUAUUGGUCGACUCGAUUAGUGCAUCACAGGUUACAGAAGUUUGUCACUCUAGAAACUUAUCUGACCAUCAGGUUACAGCUAGAUGCUUCGAUUCCUUUGGAGGGAGAAAGAGGGCAAGAUUGAUUGAAGAGAGCAAGAAAAAGAGGAAGCGAUAUGGAGCUGCCAGGAAAAGGGGAUAUAUCCACAAUUUGCCAACCGAGAAAAGAUCACCGCUUCUCCCUCUGCCUCCAAAGACAAUUUUUGAGGCAUUCCCUCAUUACAAGAAGUGGUGGCCAUCCUGGGACCAGAGAACGCACUUCAAUUGCUUGCAAACAUGUACGGCGAGUGCACCGGUGACAGAACGGAUCCAGCAGAAACUUUCAAGCUCAGGCAAUCCACCACCUCAAAGUGUACAGAAAUAUGUCAGGCAUCAGUGCUCAAAAUGGAACCUUGUUUGGGUUGGCAAAGACAAAGCUGCUCCAUUGGAACCUCAUGAGAUGGAGUAUCUUCUUGGUUUCCCAAAGGACCACACAAGAGGCUUCGGCAAGACACAGAGAUACAAGUCUCUCGGCAACUCAUUCCAAGUCGACACGGUCGCUUACCACUUGUCAGUGCUGAGGGACAUGUUUCCCAAUGGUAUUACUGUGCUAUCCUUGUUCACUGGCAUCGGAGGAGGAGAGGUCGCCUUGCACAAGCUUGGGAUCCACAGGGCAGUAGUUUCUGUUGAGAUAUGCAAAGCUAAUAGGAAGAUUUUGAGGAGUUGGUGGGAUCAAACCCAGACAGGCACGUUGAUUGAGAUAGCUGAUGUGAAAUCCCUCAAGGAUGAUGAAAUUGCAUCAUAUGUUAGUAGAUUUGGCGGCUUCGACUUGGUGAUUGGGGGCAGCCCAUGUAACAAUCUUGCCGGAAGCAACCGGCACCAUCGUGAUGGCUUGGAGGGCGAGCACUCAUCUUUGUUCUAUGACUACUUUAGGAUCUUGAAUUCCGUCAAGUCGGCUAUGGCGAACAUUCACGAUGCUGUUAUCCGUUUUCCAUCAAUUGAUGCAGAUGUGGGCAUCGAAGGUCUGGACGUGGAGAGAUGCCUGGAGCCAUUACAGUGCAGGCAAUCUCAGGUUGUUGUCUGGAUCGUAGGGACAAUAUGUACAGUCACGCUGUCGUUGCCUGUUUUCCAUCGCGUCCCACAAGGCAGUGGAGGAUACAGUGCACGCAACCUCAGAUGCUGGCAUCCAAUUUUCAUCUGGUCGCCGAGAGAUGCCUGGAGCUGCAUUUCGCCGUCGACCCCGUCCCGUGGGGAAUCAGCUGAUCAAACUUCUUCGGCCUGUGAAUGCUGUUGUCUAGUCACUCUUCUUCGCCUGUCGCUGCUGCUGCUAGGGUUAUCUUCUGCUCGUGCCCAAAUUGGGUCCCACGAGCCAGUCUCACUCGCCGAUUGA
rnacentral:rRNA from 1 species